rnacentral:rRNA from 1 species
GCUUGUCUCAAAGAUUAAGCCAUGCAUGUCUAAGUAUAAACAACUUUGUACUGUGAAACUGCGAAUGGCUCAUUAAAUCAGUUAUAGUUUAUUUGAUAGUACCUUACUACUUGGAUAACCGUAGUAAUUCUAGAGCUAAUACAUGCGAAAAGACCCGACUCACGAAGGGUUGUAUUUAUUAGAUACAAAACCAAUGCGGAGCAAUCCGGUUACCGGUGAUUCAUAAUAACUUUGCGAAUCGCAUGGGUUUAACCCGGCGAUGAAUCAUUCAAAUUUCUGCCCUAUCAAGUUUCGUUGGUACGGUAUUGGCCUACCAAGCUUACAACGGGUAACGGGGAAUUAGGGUUUUAUUCCGGAGAGGGGGCCUGAGAGAUGGCCACCACAUCCAAGGAAGGCAGCAGG